rnacentral:lncRNA from 1 species
CAUCCCCUGCUCUGCUGCCCUGGGAUCAGGCAGAAGUGGAGGAGAGUGACCAGGCCAGACCACUGCAAGCUGUGUGUUCCUCCCUACUGGGUGCACUGAGAGCUGUUGCCAGGCCUCAGGACUCUCAUUUUCCAGUAACAGGCAUGACUCAGUCACUCUGCUUCACUUGGUGGCCUUUGUCUAUGACCAUCCUCUACUUGUCUCUCCCAGAAAAUUAUCCUUGAUUUUAAUUACCAGGUCCCAAGCAGAGGGAACUAGGGGAUUAGGACUGGGGCUGGGCUCAGGAUCUGGAGAUUCAUUCACAUUUGACUUGGGGCAAGUAUCUCCAACUCUCCCUUUUGUUUUCCCCUUGCCUGUUUCAACAGAGCCAUCCUCUUGCCUGUGUCAGUGCAAUCUCCACUGUGAUAAAAAUGACAAUACUUGUAAUGUCACAAAUACUGUACAAAAUGCUCACUCAGACCCCACAGCACCCAUUAAAUGCCACUAAUAGGACAUUUGGGUUAACUUCAGUUGUAAGGUUUGACUGAUAAGGGCAAUCCCCAGUGGCUCCUUCCAGAGAAAAUCAUCAACUCACAGCAUAGUUUGGGUUGGAUUUCAAAUCCC